UACGUAGGGUGCAAGCGUUGUCCGGAUUUAUUGGGCGUAAAGAGCGCGCAGGCGGUUUGACCAGUCACACGUGAAAGCCCUCGGCUCAACCGAGGAGGGUCGUGUGAAACUGUCAGACUAGAGAGUGGAAGAGGAAAGUGGAAUUCCCGGUGUAGUGGUGAAAUGCGUAGAUAUCGGGAGGAACACCAGUGGCGAAGGCGACUUUCUGGUCCACAACUGACGCUGAGGCGCGAAGGCUAGGGGAGCGAACGGG
rnacentral:rRNA from 1 species